GCUGCACCUGUGGCAUAUGGAGGUUCCCAGGCCAGGGAACAGAUUAGAGCUGUAGCCACCGGCCUACGCCAGAGCCACAGCAACGCCAGAUCCAAGCUGUGUCUGCGACCUACACCACAGCUCAAGGGAACGCCAGAUUCUCAACCCACUGAGCAAGGCCAGGGAUGGAACCCACAACCUACCUCAUGGUUCCUAGUCAGGUUCCUUAACCACUGCGCCACGACGGGAACUCUUUUUUUUUUUUGUCUUUUUAGGGCCACACCCAUGGCAUCUGGAGGUUCCCAGGCUAGGGGUCAAAUGAGAGCUACAGCUGCUGGCCUACACCACAGCCACAGCAACAUCAGACCCGAGCCACAUCUGUGACCAACACCACAGCUCACGGCAAUGCUGGAUCCUUAACCCACUGAGCAAGGCCAGGGAUUGAACCUGCAUCCUCAUGGAUACUAGUCAGAUUCAUUUCUGCUGCGCCACAACAGGAACUCCCCAGCUGACAUCUUUCACUGUCUUUAUGUCAGAAAAGUCACUGACCCAGGCAGGAAAAUUUCAUAUUUCAUAGUUGACAUGCAGCAGUUUUAAUGAAUCCUUUUUAUCCACUACAUGUUCAAGACUUGCUGAAAGAUGAAGUGACACCUCCUUUCGGCACUGAGCUACUAGAAGAGAGGGCCUGGAUCUGUUUCAUUUGCCCAGGUGUGGCUGCCAUAUCCCACCUGCAUAGGGUCCCUGAAACACCCCAGGAACACAAAAGGUCCCAUUCUUUGCCAUCUAUCCACACCCAAAGACUGUUUUAUUGUGCUUAUAGGCUUUCACUACCUGGUUAUUGAUUUCCUGUGAAUGGCAUGUCGCAACAGAAGAAAGGGUGGGGGAAAAAACUGUAACUGCAAUGUAUACAUCUAAGGAUAACCUGACCCCCUUGCUGUACAGUGGGAAAAAAAAAAAAAAAUUACAUAGAAUGGAGAUGCAGCUAGCAAAAUCCAGACCGUGGGAAAUUCUAUGAAACAAAGUGUUUUCAACAAAACAAUAGAGAGGGGAAGGAUUUAAAGGCGGUUAAUCGUGAUUUAAGAGACAUGUUAACCAGGCACAUUGUAUAGACCUCAUCUGGAUCCUUAUUCAAAUAAAUUAACUUAAGAAAAGGAAAUUAGAGAAUAAGCAGAGAAAAAUGACGAUAGACUGGAAUGCUGAUGAUAUUGAGGAAACAAUCACCACUUUUUUAGAGUGCGGUGAUAGUACUGUUGGUUAUUUCAGAAAGACAGUCCUAAUCUUUUAGAGAUACAUACUGAGAUAUUUACAAAUUGUGAAAUACGAAAUAAUAUAAGGUUUGGGAUUUGCUAAUCUGAGUGAGGUGGGGUGGGGAAGUGGCCAGAGUUUUGAACGAAACAAGACUGUCAGCUGGUAACUGUUGCAGUUGCAUUAUGGGUACACAUAAACCUCUUCUCUCCACUUUGAAAUUUUCAAAAAGUUAAAAAAGUAAAUCUAACCAAUAGAACGAUUAAAGUGUCUACGUUUUUGUUAAAAAAUGUUUAAAGUCUGUAACACCUUCGAAUUCUUUCACUUUGCAAGAUGUGUAUAAGAGAGUAGUAUUCUGAUUCACAAGUCCUGAAAAGUAUCUUUG
ensembl:lncRNA